rnacentral:rRNA from 1 species
UACGUAGGGUGCAAGCGUUGUCCGGAAUUAUUGGGCGUAAAGAGCUCGUAGGCGGUUUGUCGCGUCUGCUGUGAAAACUCGGGGCUUAACUCCGGGCCUGCAGUGGGUACGGGCAGACUAGAGUUCGGUAGGGGAGACUGGAAUUCCUGGUGUAGCGGUGAAAUGCGCAGAUAUCAGGAGGAACACCGGUGGCGAAGGCGGGUCUCUGGGCCGAUACUGACGCUGAGGAGCGAAAGCGUGGGGAGCGAACAGG